UAUAUAUAUAUAUAGGUCACCGUACGGCCUUCAACAAAGAGUAAAGCCCAUACCGCAUACUCAGCUUCAAAAGGCCCGAAAUGACAAUGUAAAACAAUGCAAACGAGAAAACUAGCGGCCUUAUUUAUGUACAAAAAAUGAACGAAAAACAAAUAUGUAACACAUAAACAAACGACAACCAAUGAAUUACAGGCUCCUUACUUAAAUAAAUGUUCAUAACAUACUAAAUGUAUGUUCAUAUUGAAAUUGAUAGAAAACCAAAAAUUGGGAACUUUGGAAAUAAAGGUGGAGGGUAAAAAAACAUUUUCCUGUCCCCAAUAACCUAUGACUUAUGAUACUUUUGCUGAAAUUCUCAAGUCAUUCUGUAUUUUACAAAAUUCUUCCAACAACACUUUACAUACUUUAAACUACGCUCUGAAUCCCCGCGAUUUCGCGGGUGUGUUCUAGUGUUAUUUAUUAUUCAU
rnacentral:lncRNA from 1 species